rnacentral:rRNA from 1 species
CGGGGAAUAUUGGACAAUGGGCGCAAGCCUGAUCCAGCCAUGCCGCGUGAGUGAUGAAGGCCUUAGGGUUGUAAAGCUCUUUCGACGGGGACGAUGAUGACGGUACCCGUAGAAGAAGCCCCGGCUAACUUCGUGCCAGCAGCCGCGGUAAUACGAAGGGGGCUAGCGUUGUUCGGAAUUACUGGGCGUAAAGCGCACGCAGGCGGUGCGAUCAGUCAGAAGUGAAAGCCCCGGGCUUAACCUGGGAACUGCUUUUGAUACUGUCGCGCUUGAAUCACGGAGAGGGUAGUGGAAUUCCGAGUGUAGAGGUGAAAUUCGUAGAUAUUCGGAAGAACACCAGUGGCGAAGGCGACUACCUGGCCGUCGAUUGACGCUCAUGUGCGAAAGCGUGGGGAGCAAACAG